AUGGAGGCAGCAGUGGUGAGCGUGUCGCAUGGCGCCAUUGGCUUCGUGAUUGCGAAGCUUGGCGAUCUGCUCGCUGGCAAGUACAAGCUGCUGAAACAAGCCAAAGGCGAGAUAAUGUUCCUUAAAGCUGAGCUCGAGAGUAUGCGAGCAUUCCUGGAGAGGAUGUCGGAGGCGGAGGAGGAGCCCGACAAGCAAGCCAGGUGCUGGGCAAACGAGGUGCGUGAUCUGUCCUAUGACAUCGAGGACAGCGUCGAUGAGUUCAUGCUCCUGGUGGAAGGUGAGUCCAACGGCGAGCCCCAUGGGUUUAAGGGGUUCAUUCAUAGGAGCAUGAACUUGUUGACGACGAUGAACACUCGGCAAAAGGUCGCCAAGGAGUUCCAAGGCCUCAAGAGCCGUGUCAUGGAGGUGAGCGAGCGACGCAUGAGGUACAAGAUUGAUGAUGCUGUCUCAAAGCCAAACAAUACAACCAUAGACAUUCGCAUGCUGGCACUCUAUGCGGACACAUCGGGCCUUGUGGGUAUCGAUGGCCUGAGGGAUGAAUUAAUACACCUGAUGGUGGGUGAAGAGGGUGUUUCUGCACAACAGAGGAAGGUCCUCUCUAUAGUGGGAUUUGGAGGGCUUGGUAAGACUACACUUGCGAACCAGAUUUACCACAGGCUAAAGUGGCAGUACGAGUGCCAGGCUUUCGUUUCCGUGUCCCAGAAACCAAACAUACGAAUGAUUCUGAGAAGAAUGCUCUCUCAAGUUGGCUAUGUAGCGCUGGAGGGAACCAACAUGGAAAUAUGGGCAGAGGAUGAACUGAUCAGUGCACUCAGACAAUUCCUUAUGGAUAAGAGGUACUUGAUUGUAGUUGAUGACAUUUGGGAUGAAACUACAUGGAAUGUUAUUAGAUGUGCUCUUCCAAAAAAUUUGGACGGUAGCAUGAUAAUAACAACUACCCGAAUUAAUACUGUGGCUAGAGCUUGCUGCUGCAAUCAGCAUGACUAUGUUUAUAAGAUGAAGUCACUAAGCAACGAAGACUCAAGAAAGCUAUUUUUCAACAGAGUAUUUGGUUCAGAGGAAGCCUGCCCUCUGUAUUUGGAAGAAGUUUCAGCUCAGAUUUUAAAAAGAUGUGCUGGCUUGCCUCUUGCAAUUGUGACUAUAUCUAGCCUUUUGGCUAGUGAGCAAAACACAUUGAAGGAGAAUUGGGUGCAUAUAAAGAAUUCAUUGGGCCCCAAUUUCGAGGUGAAUCCAACAUUGGAAGGAAUGAGGCAAAUACUGAGCCUUAGUUACAUAAAUCUUCCUCAUUAUUUGAAGACAUGCAUGCUAUAUUUGGGUAUGUAUCCAGAGGACUAUAUAAUCUGGAAAAAUGAUUUGGUCAGGCAAUGGAUAGCCCAAGGUUUUGUAAGUAAAGUACAUGGGCAAUAUCCAGAGGCUAUUGCAGAGGGCUAUUUUAACGAGCUUGUUAACAGGGGCAUCAUUCAACCAAUUGAUACAGAUCAUAACAAUGAAGUGUUAUCUUGCAAAGUGCAUGAUAUGAUCCUCGACCUUAUUGUACACAAGUGCAGAGAUGAAAAUUUUAUAAUUGCGACACAUGACAUCCAAGCCAUGAUAGGUUUGUCUGGCAAGGUCCGCAGGCUCUCCCUCUAUCUGGAUGGUAUAAUAGAUGGCACCAUAUUGGAGACCGCCCAACUCUCACAAGUAAGAGCACUGGCGAGAUUCGGUACCUCUGCAUAUGCACCUCCUCUCUUGAAGUUCAACCAUCUUCGAGUUUUAACUCUUGAAUUUACAAGUGGAAACCAUGGGUCGGAGAUACCUGACCUCACUGGAAUAUCUCAUUUGUUUCAUCUGAGGUAUCUAAAAAUAAAAGCAGAUGGUGAAAUAGUGUUACCAAGGAAAAUUCGGGGGCUAGAGCAAUUGGAGACCUUGGAGUUAGGAGUAUGUCCUCUUGAAGUUCCGCAAGAUGUUAUUCAUUUGCGCCGAUUGCAGCACCUGAUCAUCCCUAGUGGGAUAAAUUUGCCCGAUGGGAUUGGCAACAUGAAAUCUGUAUGUACGCUGCAAGAGUUUGAUGUGGGCUUGAAUUCUAUAGACAACAUCAGAGGCCUUGGAGAACUGACCAAUUUGAGGAAUCUUCGAAUAUGUUACUACAUGGAUGAAUUGCAUGACAGGAAAACAACACAACGCUUGGAUGUUUUGAGAUGUUCCCUUGAAAAACUUUGCAACCUCAGAUAUCUGCACACGGAUUCUAAUAUCAACAGUAUAUAUGCGUUAAGCUCACAUGUUUCUCUUUGCCUUCUCCGGAGGCUUCACAUGUUGUGCAUGUUUCCAAUGGUUCCUAAGUGGAUUGGCGAGCUCCAUAACCUCACAGACCUUGAUCUUAGAUUUGAGGUGUUGGAAGAUGAUAUUGUAAUUCUUGCACAGUUGCAAUCUCUUAACCACCUCAAAUUGCACGUCGAAGGAACUUGUGAAGCUAAAGAGAAAGUAGUCAUCUGCGGAAUUGGAUUCCCUAUUCUCAAGCAUUUCAGGCUGUCCUGCAUCAGGAUAUCACAGCUGACUUUUGAGGCAGGGGCUAUGCCCAGUCUCGAAAAGCUUGAGGUAAGACUCAAUUUUCUCUACGGUGGUGCACCUAUGGGUAUCGAGUACCUAUUAGGCCUCAAGGAAAUCCUUGUAAUUGUUGGGGGAUAUGGUGCCGAGGGAUCCACUACAAGAGCUGCAGUGGGAGGCCAUUGA
rnacentral:rRNA from 1 species